GAUGAACGCUAGCGAUAGGCUUAACACAUGCAAGUCGAGGGACCGGCGGAUGGGUGAGUAACGCGUAUGCAACUUGCCUCUUAGUGGGGGAUAACCCGGAGAAAUCCGGACUAAUACCGCAUACUAAGAGAUCGGCAUGCGUUCCAUUAGUUAGUUGGUGAGGUAACGGCUCACCAAGUCAUCGAUGGAUAGGGGAGCUGAGAGUCUGAUCCCCCACAUUGGGACUGAGACACGGCCCAAACUCGUACGCGAGGCAGCAGUGAGGUAGACUGGUCAAUGGAGGAAACUCUGAACCAGCCAGGUAGCGUGAAGGAUGACGGUCUAGGGCGUGUAAACUUCUUUAGUAGGCGAUUAAGUAGCCUAAGAAUAAGUAGCGGCUAACUCCGUGCCAGCAGCCGCGGUAAUAC
rnacentral:rRNA from 1 species